UGUGUGUAACAAGAUUUCAAGUAAAUAUUCACAACACACUUCAUUUCAAAACGUUAAAUUUUACAAGUUCAAUUUGACAAGAAAAUGUGUAAUCGCAAAAGGGGAAAGAGUGUGUCUGUGAAAUAUUGAAGGUAGAACCUUUUUUUCAUAAUGGCGUCCUCUGGAUCAACUUGCACACACCUUAACUAUUCAACCAAUUGUUUGCCACCUGACCGGGUCAAUUGUACAUACCUAUAAGACAUGGGGUAUCUGCUACCUCCCGCCAGCAUAGGUAUCGAGUAACUCUGUCAUCUAAGACUUAGACGGAUGGAAAGAGAUAGAGUACCCUUCUUUUCACAAAUAUAGGUUUUUCCAAUAUGUUUCUUGCAUCCUCUCUACAAUCUAAAGGUAGGGUUAAGGCUGCGUAUGCACCACCCUCUCCGCCCCUCAUUUGUGGAGUUACACUAGGUAUGUUGUUGUUCAUUUUUCUUGAAUCACAUAUGCAUCAUGGUGUAAUGCAGACACAACCUUUGAUCAGUUCACGUCCAUCCUAAGCGCAUCCAUCACCUGUCUUAACCAUGUCUCCGCCCGAAUGUCGUUUCUACAAAAAAAAAAAAUAUUAUCAAAUAGAUGGAAUCAUGUCAAAUAUCAACAAAAAAGAGGGAUGCAACAUGAGGUCUUCGCAGGAGAUCACCCAUCCUAGUACUACUCUCGCCCAAGCACACUUAACUUCGGUCAUCUGUAACAAUCUUAUUUUGGUAUACAAAAUUAAAUUUUUCUUUCCAUGUUUUAACUAGAACUUAAAUGUUCAAAACUUACUCUCAACAACAAAAGCUCCAACCAAUUUUCGAAGACAAAACAUGAAUAUACAAAAAACCAACCUCACCGCGAAUAUCCACAUCACAGUUCUUGUCGUCAUUUCCUCUUCCACCCUGUUUUUCCAUGUCUCUUUCGUAACUCGUUAUAUCCCAUUCAUACACGCAAUCAUAUUUUCCCAUUGUGCUUGCCACGUUAUGAUCUUCAUUUGUAUCGAUGGUUAAGCUUCAACAAGUAUUUUUAUUUAUAUAUGUGUAUGUAUACCUCUUUCCUUCAGCUAGAUAAUAAGCCUUCUCUCUUAGUAUCGUCUUCUGCCCAAUGUGGUAACUCCUGUUUGUUCAGCUUGAAUCUGAACUACGAUUCAGAUCAAAUCUUUCUGAAAUAGGAUUUCCUUUCCGUGCCAACUUGGUAAGUCCCUUUUUCAACUUGAAUCUAAACUACGAUUCAAAUCAAAUCUUACUGAAAUAGGAUUUCUUUUCUUGUUAUAUCCGCUUGGACUUUACUUUUUCCUAUACUAAUCAAAAUCCCUCAAAUCUUGAUGGAAGAAAGAAAGAAAAACAUCAGAAUUG
rnacentral:lncRNA from 1 species